GACGAACGCUGGCGGCGUGCUUAACACAUGCAAGUCGAACGGUAAGGCCCUUCGGGGUACACGAGUGGCGAACGGGUGAGAAACACGUGGGUGAUCUGCCCUGCACUUCGGGAUAAGCCUGGGAAACUGGGUCUAAUACCGGAUAGGACUCCUGCCUGCAUGGGUGGGGGUGGAAAGCUUUUGCGGUGUGGGAUGGGCCCGCGGCCUAUCAGCUUGUUGGUGGGGUGAUGGCCUACCAAGGCGACGACGGGUAGCCGGCCUGAGAGGGUGACCGGCCACACUGGGGCUGAGAUACGGCCCAGACUCCUACGGGAGGCAGCAGUGGGGAAUAUUGCACAAUGGGCGCAAGCCUGAUGCAGCGACGCCGCGUGAGGGAUGACGGCCUUCGGGUUGUAAACCUCUUUCAGCACAGACGAAGCGCAAGUGACGGUAUGUGCAGAAGAAGGACCGGCCAACUACGUGCCAGCAGCCGCCGUAA
rnacentral:rRNA from 1 species